UUACUCAACCCUGGAGACCAGUGGAGACUCUGGAGCUGUUGGAAUGUCCCUGCUCAGCCCAGAUGGGCAGUAUCUCUUGGCUCCUCCUUGGGCCCCAGCACCCUCAUCUGAUACAGCUACUGGGCAUUUCAGCCUGGAGAUUUCUGUCUCUUAUUUUAGACAAUUUUUUGGUAUUGAAUAAAUUAAUUGAUCUGCUAAGAAGAAGUGGUAAACUUGAAGACAUUCCUGCCUUCUUUGAAUUGGCCAAGAAGGUGUCUAGCCGGGUGCCUUUGGAACCAGGGUUCAGUUACUGCAGAGGUAUCUACUGCUGGCACAUAGGGCAGCCGAACGAAGCCUUAAAGUUCCUGAACAAGGCACGCAAGGACAGCACUUGGGGCCAGAGCGCCAUCUACCACAUGGUGCAGAUCUGUCUGAAUCCAGACAACGAGGUUGUGGGCGG
rnacentral:sRNA from 1 species